rnacentral:lncRNA from 1 species
UUUUUUUUUAUUAAUAUUUUUAUUCUGCAAACACAUUAAAUUCAUCAGAAGUGACAGUAAAGACUUUUACAUUGACAUUCAUCAAAGUACCCUGAAAAAUGGAUCACAGUUUCCAGAAAAAUAUUAAUCAGCAAAACUGUUUUUGAUAAGUAUAGGCAUGCAAAUAAGGACAUGCAUGUGUGUUUCUUGCAGGUGUCAGAUGCUCGAGGACAUGCAGAUAAGGCCAAGCUCAAUGCUCAGGAUGUGUUACUGAGAGCCAAUCAGAGCAAAGCACGAGUGGAACAGACCAAUGAGGAGCUCAAGAGACCUCAUUCAGCAAAGACUUCCUCACAAACGAAACUGAUCCAAAGCGUAUAGAGGAAGUAGCUGAUGAGGUGAUGAAACAGUUUGCCAGUGUCAGUGCCUGGUGCACUAAAGAACGUGACCACGGAGAUCCGCCAACAUGUGGCCAGACUGACCCAGACGGCAGAGAAUACUCGCACUGCAGAGAGACUCCUACAAGAAGCACAGGCUGCCAAGUACAAUCAAAAACUGAAGUUCAAACUGAGUAGCAGCACAGGAAAGUUUCUGGAUCUUGAGAGAGAGGUUGACGAACUCCAACAGAAAACUCUAGAAACGUCCAGUAGUGCAGAUCAAACUCCGAGACAAACUGAAAACAUCACAGCAGAAAUCGAGCACACAGAACGGAUCAAAAGGCAGCAGGUGUGUUUAAAGCUCAUCAGAAGGCUGUGCAACUACGCCAGGAGGCAAAAGAUCUAUUAAUAGGUGCCACAAACAAACUACAGAGACUAAGAGGUAAAACUGCUCACAGACUUGAAUAUUAGAUUAUAGAUUUGCCUAUGAUUCCUCACUUUUCUUUCUCUUUAACUCUUCCAGAGUUGGAGAGAUCAUUUGUGAUAAAUCAGCACAUUCUGGUGGAGAAAGCUCAGGAGACGGAUGGGCUGGAGAAUGAGGCCAGAGAUGUACUGCAAGAACUCCGUCAGAAAAUCACCAUCUACAGCACCUGCGCUUAACUACUAUGACCAAAAACGAAUUAAUAAUGUUAUAAGCUCAGACUAUAAUCAGAUGUCAACCAUGUAAAUGCAAUUUUGUAUUGUCAAAAAUAAGUUGCUAACUGCCUGACCAAUUCAAGGUAUCCCUUUCAAUAUGCAUAUUUUUGCCUUUUCUAUGAAACUACGAAAAAAGCUCAUUCAGUUUAUUGUGUCCUAAAUAUGAGGAAUCUUGCAGUGUGCAAUAUCAAUAAACAUUCCUCUGGGCGGAAUAAGCCCCUCCAUUGUUGUGAGCAGCAAAUCAGGUUGGAUCUGCUUGUUAAAACUAAGUAUGGUGACAAUGAAAUGCCAAAAUAAAAAUUCCUUUAGAUUAUGUGAUGAAGCAAUAAACCACUGUGGCUUAUUGUUUUGUCUUUUUACUUUCAUAAAACUGUGGAAACAGCAAAAUUAUCAAAACAACUAUAUACGAUGUUUAUUAAAUAUUUAAACACAUAAUAUUGAUAAUACAAUAACCAUUUAUUAAUAAUAAUAAAAAGCUUGAGUCAACUGCACAUGUGACCUGUGCUGGCAAAAUGAGUCACAAUGAGC